AUUAUAAAAGGCUAAUCUCAGCCCACCAUGCCAACUUUACCCACCAAAAAAAGCCUACCAUGCCAACAAACAAAAACAUAGGUUGCCCUCUCGGCCUCUCCCACGCCGUUCACUCGUCCGCUCCCGUCGCCGUUCGAGUUGAUAUCAUGUUCAGCUUCAACCCAGCUCGCCGGCGCCGAUUUCCGUCGUUGUCGUGUGAGGGGAAAAAAUUCGUGGUUCAACAUAAGGCGGCGAAGUAGGUGUUCUCAUGUGGAUUUGGCUUUGUCUUUAUUUCCAGUGGCUGCUGACUGACAUUCUUAAUAAAUUGGCAGGUUUUAAAUAGAUGCUCUAAUUUGUAUUAUGAGGGUUGGAGCUUAUAGUGAAAGAGAUAGCUCAAUUUAUUCCAAUUUUCUUUAUCGAUUUGCUGUGUUAUAUUCCAUCCAAAUCAUUUUAGUGUUUAAGAUUGUGACACGUAAACUAAUUAAUAUUAGAUCCUUAUUUUUUCAA